rnacentral:sRNA from 1 species
AUGUACCACUCGGACACGCGGUUCCUGCGCGCCGUCCACGCCCAGCUGGCGACUGUUGGCUACGUCUUGUUAUCC